rnacentral:rRNA from 1 species
CGUAAGGCGCCGAAUGAGUCAUUAAAAAAUUAACAUCAUCCGAUCCCUAGUCGGCAUAGUUUAUGGUUAAGACUACGACGGUAUCUGAUCGUCUUCGAUCCCCUAACUUUCGUUCUUGAUUAAUGAAAACAUCCUUGGCAAAUGCUUUCGCAGUAGUUAGUCCUCAAUAAAUCCAAGAAUUUCACCUCUGACAAUUGAAUACUAAUGCCCCCAACUAUCCCUAUUAAUCAUUACGUCGAUCCUAGAAACCAACAAAAUUAAAAUCAAACGUCCUAUUUCGUUAUUCCAUGCUAAUGUAUUCAAGCGUGAGCCUGCUUUAAACACUCUAAUUUUUUCAAAGUAACAGUCCUGAUUCCCCAAAACACCAAAUUAAUGGCAUUAUGAUUCGUCAGAAAGGAGAAACCAAUAAUACCAGUACGUACAAAAGCACGACCAAUAAACCGGUCUCGAAAUUCAACUACGAGCUUUUAACUGCAACAACUUUAAUAUACGCUAUUGGAGCUGGAAUUACCGCGGCUGC